AGCCUUUGAAGAGCAGCGGUGGAGCCUGGGGAUGGUUGGGGGUGAACUAAGCCUGGACGGCAGACAGCACCUGAGAGCGAACCUCAAACCUGGAGGAGGAACAGUCACUGAUGAUGUCCAACCUCCAGCUAAGUUUGGUGUUGGGAGGGUGAACAGCAAUAUUUAUCAAAGACCAAAGCCAAAACACAAACUGUGAAGAACUGACUGACAGAGCAGAAGUUUCAAUCAAAGAAGACAGCCUUGAAAUCGUACAGAUGCUCGCCUCAGCUCCACUCAACAUCUGAAGGACCCGACCUGCAAACUUGGAGCUCCAGAUGUGGCUACAUUACUCACUCCUGCAUGGUCUCCCACACCUGAUUUAUGUCCUGCUCUUAUGGCACUGCAAAUUCAGAGUGGCUGAAGAGGCAAGGAGCAACCACUAGUGGGCCCCAGGAAGACAUCUAUACUCCUCCCAUUAUCUCACCACCACAUCCCACUAACUCCCCUCUCCCCGUGUCUCUCAUCCUACGGUCUCAGCAACACACUCUCUUGGUGCUGGAAGGUGCAGAAGGGCCUGUUGCCAAAGACAAUCCAAUAAAAGCGCUGUGGAUGACGGCCAGUAAUUAGAAAGAUUUUCAAAA